rnacentral:rRNA from 1 species
GAUCCUGGCUCAGGAUGAACGCUGGCGGCGUGCCUAACACAUGCAAGUCGAACGAAGCACUUAUCUUGGAUUCUUCGGAUGACGAGAUAUUUGACUGAGUGGCGGACGGGUGAGUAACGCGUGGGUAACCUGCCUCAUACAGGGGGAUAACAGUUAGAAAUGACUGCUAAUACCGCAUAAGCGCACGAAGACGCAUGUCUUUGUGUGAAAAGCCGAGA